rnacentral:rRNA from 1 species
GAUGAACGCUGGCGGCGUGCCUAAUACAUGCAAGUCGAGCGAACGGACGAGAAGCUUGCUUCUCUGAUGUUAGCGGCGGACGGGUGAGUAACACGUGGAUAACCUACCUAUCAGACUGGGAUAACUUCGGGAAACCGGAGCUAAUACCGGAUAAUAUUUUGAACCGCAUGGUUCAAAAGUGAAAGACGGUCUUGCUGUCACUUAUAGAUGGAUCCGCGCUGCAUUAGCUAGUUGGUAAGGUAACGGCUUACCAAGGCAACGAUGCAUAGCCGACCUGAGAGGGUGAUCGGCCACCCUGGAACUGAGACACGGUCCAGACUCCUACGGGAGGCAGCAGUAGGGAAUCUUCCGCAAUGGGCGAAAGCCUGACGGAGCAACGCCGCGUGAGUGAUGAAGGUCUUCGGAUCGUAAAACUCUGUUAUUAGGGAAGAACAUAUGUGUAAGUAACUGUGCACAUCUUGACGGUACCUAAUCAGAAAGCCACGGCUAACUACGUG